UACGGGAGGCAGCAGUGGGGAAUAUUGCACAAUGGGCGCAAGCCUGAUGCAGCCAUGCCGCGUGUAUGAAGAAGGCCUUCGGGUUGUAAAGUACUUUCAGUCGUGAGGAAGGUGUUAAGGUUAAUAACCUUAGCAAUUGACGUUAGCGACAGAAGAAGCACCGGCUAACUCCGUGCCAGCAGCCGCGGUAAUACGGAGGGUGCGAGCGUUAAUCGGAAUUACUGGGCGUAAAGGGCACGCAGGCGGUUAAUUAAGUUGGAUGUGAAAUCCCCGGGCUUAACCUGGGAAUGGCAUUCAAGACUGGUUAGCUAGAGUCUUGUAGAGGGGGUUAGAAUUCCAUGUGUAGCGGUGAAAUGCGUAGAGAUGUGGAGGAAUACCGGUGGCGAAGGCGGCCCCUGGACAAAGCUGACGCUCA
rnacentral:rRNA from 1 species